rnacentral:rRNA from 1 species
UACGUAGGGGGCAAGCGUUGUCCGGAAUCAUUGGGCGUAAAGAGCGUGUAGGCGGCCAGAAAAGUCCGCUGUGAAAACUCGAGGCUCAACUUCGAGCUGUCGGUGGAAACUUUCUGGCUAGAGUCCGGAAGAGGAGAAUGGAAUUCCUGGUGUAGCGGUGAAAUGCGCAGAUAUCAGGAAGAACACCCGUGGCGAAGGCGGUUCUCUGGGACGGUACUGACGCUGAGACGCGAAAGCGUGGGGAGCGAAUGGG